ACUCAGCAGAGCCUGGGCUCUCGCUCUUUACACCUACCCUGCUCCAUCCAUUGCCUUGACUUGCCAGUUGCUUUCCCCACCCCCAAGGCAAAGAAACAAGAAGCAGGAGAGUGCAAGAGGCUCAGGAUCUGAUCUUGUCAACAGCAGGAGAAAACCCUAGCCUGGCUUCACUCAGAAGAUGUCAUCUUGGAUUAGAAAAGAGAGAGAGAGCCACAACUUGGAUUGACAGAGUAUGGAGCCUGAAGGAGCCCAGGUCCCUGAGACACAGUGGAACAAAGCCACUAUACUACCUCAGGACUCUGUACAGCCCUGCUUUAUAUAGAGGAGAAAUCUUUAAAAAGAAGAAUUCGAAGAAAAAGGAAUGCAAGGAGAAAGCUGAAGAGGAGGUGGAAGGAAAAGAAGAAGCAGCAGAAGUGGGAGAAGAGAAAGAAAUGUCUGUCUAUAGAAGGGAGAGUCACAUGAUUUGAAGGCUGACAUUUGGAAUGCAAACCUGAGGAAAAUGUCUACCUCACUUACCUGAC